rnacentral:lncRNA from 1 species
AAAAUAAUUGUCCCCCCCAUUACGCAUGAAUCUGAACUAUUUUGGCACAGCAGCUUUAAAACAUUUAUCCAAACCAACUUUAAUCUUUGAAGCUUUAUAGUCCUGAUUACCAUCAUCAAGCUGUAACUGCCAUGGACGGUCAGUUACGCAUCGAACAAGGGCAAGCUAAAUAGCCUAUCCCUGCAAUGCAAACCAACAGUGAAGUGAAAGCGUGCACCACUCAAAGAAGGGUUUAUUUUGGGCCUCGUUGCGCGCACGUGCAUCUCCGGAAGCCCGUUUCCACGGUUUCCCCUUCUCACAGAGAGAAGGGGAAAUGUGGAGGAUAUAAAUGUUUUGCUUAACCAGAGGAAACAUCGCUGCCGCUAACCGAUCGCCGGAUCCAUUAAGCUAAUUUAUUAAACGCAAUUUGCCUUGUGUCAUUGGGCUGAGUAGCUCGGGAGAGAGAGGGUUGAAAACGGGGAGACAAGGGCUGCUGGCGGGACUGCAGGGGGAACACGGUUCUGACACGCAGAAUUAGAGGCGAAUUAAGAGCCUCAAUGAAAAGAUCAUUUUGCAGUAAGUCCAACCGGCCUCACAACCGCAGACCACGUGCAACCACACCAGCCACAUCCGGCUUCUUCACCUGCGGGAUCGUCUGAGACCAGCCACACGGACAGCUGAUGAAACUGAGGAGUAUUUAUAUCUGUAAUAAAGACAUUUUCGAGCAACAACAAAAAAAUCUGAUUGGCUGGGCCUGGCUCCCCAGUAUGUGGGCCUAUGCCCUCCCAGGUCCACCCAUGGCUGCCUCCCUGCCCAGUCAUGUUACAUUUAUUUCAAUUGACUGAUUUCCUUGUAUGAACUAUAACUCAGUAAAAUCGUUGAAAUUGUUGGAUGUUGGGUUUAUAUUUUUGUUCAGUAUAUAUGCAUAGGCAUAUCAUUGGAAACCUGCUUAUAUUCAGUGACAUUGGUCUGUCUUCUGCAGCUUGUAAACCUGGAUGCCUUAUUCAGUGACUUUCGUCUAUCGGCUAGCCUAUUUUUCAUCGCCUACACAUCAGAAACCUGGAUACAUUUCCAUAGUGUAUUUUGCAAGCUAUAUGGACUUGAGCUCUUGCUUGGUCGUGCUUGGCAGAGUUCCCACUUGCAGGUAUGCAUG